CAUCAACAUGUGCAUUACAACACGUGGAGAUUUUAAUUUCUGUGGGACCAAUACUACUUUGGCGAACAAUUUUUCACUAUCUGUGCACAUCCCAAAAGAAGCAAGUACCAUGGCGAUGAAGAGAAAUGGCUCAUUUGCUGCAGUUUUCCGAUUUACAGAAAUGGAGCAGGAUGAGGAUGUUGUUUUACUUAACAAUGAGAUGCUGGGAAUUGACAUGGGAGUAAACAUUUCCAACCUCACAGAUACUAUAGACAUUAAGUAUGGAAAUGUGGAAAAGGUAAAGGAAAAAAUUUUAAUGUAACAAUUUUCCCAAGAUAAUAAUGUAAUGGAAGGAAUGACUAUUCUGC